rnacentral:rRNA from 1 species
GGGGGGGGGGGGGGGGGGGCGGAGGGGGGGGGGGGCGAGCGAGGCGGGGGGGGCGAGGGGCGGGCGGGGGGGUGACGGGUGGGGACCUGCCCUUGGGUGCGGGAUAGGUCGCGGAAGGGGGGGCGAAUACGGGCUACUGGCGGCGGACAAAAGAUUUAUCGCCUUUGGAUGGGCCCGCGUUGGAUUAGCUAGUUGGUAGGGUACAAGCCUGCCAAGGCGACGAGCCAUAGCUGGUCUGAGAGGAUGAUCAGCCACACUGGGACUGAGACACGGCCCAGACUCCUACGGGAGGCAGCAGUGGGGAAUAUUGGACAAUGGGCGAAAGCCUGAUCCAGCAAUGCCGCGUGAGUGAUGAAGGCCUUAGGGUUGUAAAGCUCUUUUACCCGGGAUGAUAAUGACAGUACCGGGAGAAUAAGCUCCGGCUAACUCCGUG